GGUCAGCUGACACAUCCCGGCCAAUCAGCAGCAGACCCUCCCUCCCAGACCCUCCCACCUUCUGGACAGCAUCCAUGUUGAAGCUGCCUUCAACAUGGAUGCUGUCCAGGAGGUGGGAGGGUCUGGGAGGGAGGGUCUGAUGGAGAUUGGCCGGGAUGUGUUUAUAG
rnacentral:miRNA from 1 species